rnacentral:antisense_RNA from 1 species
AAUGAAACGGGAGAGUUCCCUGAUUCCCUCCCGGCCCCCGCCCUCCCGCCGCCCUUUGCAGGACAUGCAACAGGGGUGUGGCUCGUGUGUUCCAUCUCCGCCCUGCUGAAACCCCUUAUGGGAGGUGGAGCAUGCAGACGGACGGGUGCAGGAACCAGGGUGCAAAAGCUGGGGCGCUGGGCUUCCAGCCCCACGGCAGUGUCCAGGGGCAGGAUCCUGUGAUUCCCGGAGCCCAAAUGGGCGUGUGUUACAGUGUGCUCUUUUAGCCUUACCAUCAGCUGACGGCUUAAGUGUUAACCAGCUCAAUAGACCCUCUGCCUUUUUGCAAGCGCAGAGGGUCAGUGUGACAGCUUUCUGUAUCUCAGCUCUUGUCUCACCUCCCAGAAGAAUCAGGUCACACAUGGACUUGAAGGAUGAACACCAGAGACUGGGUAAUUAAUAAAAAGAAGAAAUUUAUCUGGCCUACAGUUCUGGAGCCUUGGAAGUCCGAGAUCAAGGGGCUGCAUCUGGGUUCUAGGAUGCCUCAUAAAGGCCCAUAGGGUACUUUCUGUCUACUUCACUUAGCUCCACAUUUGCAAUUUCUGUUAACAUGCAUACAGUUGAAUGGAUGGCCAGAAUCAAAGCUAUCUGCUGUGAGACACAAUGAGAAAUGCUUUUGUGUAAAGGAAAACACAGAUCCUGGUGCCGAACAUGAGGACAAGACAGGCCGAAGGAGAAAGUGGAAGGAGGGGAUCUUCUCUCUCAGCCUCAUCCUCCUGGGCCUGGAUGCUGGAGAGUCAUGAGGUGCUUCAGAGUACUCUGGGUGAGGAGGGAAAGAUGGUGCCCACCACAUGGAGGCCAGCCUAGGUCUUGUAUGAAACCCGUGAGGAGAUUCUCUCUCCCUUGCUGGCUUUGAAAAAGCAAGUUGCCAUGUGAAGAGGGCCAUAUAGCACAGGAGCUGAAGGCGGCCUCCAACUGACAGCAAGAAAAUGCGGUCCUCAAUCUGACAACUUGCAAGAAACUGAAUGCUCUAAAAGCCACAUGAGCUUGAGAGCGGAUCUGACCCCAGCCAAAUCUCUGAAGUCCACAGGCAGGAAAUGAAGAUCAGAAAAAGGCUAUUGUCUCAUGAAUAUAAGCCAGACUCCACAGAAGCUGGAGUCCUUCAUUAUGGAGCUAAACACAUACACCUGGCUUAGGAGUCAGAAAAACUGAAAGAGAAUUCAGGGAAGUAGAGAAAUUGCAAGCCCAGAUGCUGCUUCAGACCAAAGAAGCAAGUCAGCAGAUCAGCAACAAUGUGUAUCAGUUCCAAAAUGACUUACACAGGUACCAAGACAAGACAUUAUAUACACUUAUAUAGUCAAAUACUUUAAAACUGUUAACAAACUUGCUACAAUUGUCUCAUUUGUUUUUUAACCUUAAUAUCACAGAUCAAGUUUGUAAUCUCAAAAGUUCACCCUGGCUGCUGUGUGGAGUAUUCUCUUAUCUGCUCAUAUUAUGUUGUGCUUAUUCAUUCAUCAAUUAAUGGAAAUUUGGGUUGUUUCAUGAUUUUGACUAUAAUGAAUAAUGUUGCUGUAAACAUUCAUGUAGUUUUGUGUGGACAUGCUUUUCUUUCUCUUGGGUAGGUUCCUAUGAGUGGAAUCACUAGAUUGUAUGGUAAAUGUAUGUUUAACUUUUAAAGAAACUGUCAAACUGUUUUCUAACAUGAACGGGCCAUUUUACGUUCUUAUCAUCAAUAUAUGAUGGUUUCAAUUUUUCCAC